GGAGGCGGCCAGGCGGCCGCCGGUCCCGCGCUGCGGGACGGGAGGAAAGUCCGGGCUCCACAGGGCGAGGGUGGUCCCUAACGGGGACUCGGGGUGACCCGAAGGAAAGUGCCACAGAAAAGACACCGCCAGCGCCGGCCAUCGGGUGCGGCCGAGCCGUCGACGUGGAAGCGCGCGCUGGCAAGGGUGAAAAGGUGCGGCAAGAGCGCACCGCGCUCGCGGUGACGCGGGCGGCACGGAAAACCCCACCCGGAGCAAGGCCGAAUAGGAGCCGAGGCGCGUCGCUCGUCGACGGCGCAGUGGGUGGCCCGCCCACGCGGCUCGGGUAAGGCCGCUGGAGGCUGCAGGCAACUGCAGCCCUAGAGGAAUGGUCGUCGCCCGCCGCAGCUCGCGGCGGGAACAGAACCCGGCUUAUCGGCCGCUCUCCGACG
rnacentral:RNase_P_RNA from 1 species